rnacentral:lncRNA from 1 species
AUGACUUCUGGGUUAGAGUGUCCUCUCUGGAUCAGUGGACCCAAGUGUGAUCCAUCUGUGGUAGAGUCAGUCUGCCAGUGUAGUCCUGUGUUUGUUGAGGGGAGAUGUUUGUCCGCCGACCUAGUGGUUCUAGAUUUGACAGAUUUUGACGUCAUUCUAGGGAUGGACUGGUUAUCUACCCAUGGUGCUACCUUGGACUGCAGGGACAAGGUAGUCAGGUUCAGAGGUCAGGAUGGGUCUGAGGUUGUCU